rnacentral:rRNA from 1 species
ACGCUCGACACCUACGGGAAGCAGCAGUAGGGAAUCUUCCACAAUGGACGCAAGUCUGAUGGAGCAACGCCGCGUGAGUGAAGAAGGUUUUCGGAUCGUAAAGCUCUGUUGUUGGUGAAGAAGGAUAGAGGUAGUAACUGGCCUUUAUUUGACGGUAAUCAACCAGAAAGUCACGGCUAACUACGUGCCAGCAGCCGCGGUAAUCUGAGCGGGCUGGCAAGGC